CAGCAGCCGCGGGAAUACGAAGGGUGCAAGCGUUAAUCGGAAUUACUGGGCGUAAAGCGUGCGUAGGCGGUGAGUUAAGUCUGCUGUGAAAUCCCCGGGCUCAACCUGGGAAUGGCAGUGGAUACUGGCUCGCUAGAGUGUGUCAGAGGAUGGUGGAAUUCCCGGUGUAGCGGUGAAAUGCGUAGAGAUCGGGAGGAACAUCAGUGGCGAAGGCGGCCAUCUGGGACAACACUGACGCUGAGGCACGAAAGCGUGGGGAGCAAACAGGAUUAGAUCCCCUGUAGUCCCUGUCUCUUAUACA
rnacentral:rRNA from 1 species